UACAGAGGUCUCAAGCGUUGUUCGGAUUCAUUGGGCGUAAAGGGUGCGUAGGUGGCGCCGUAAGUCGGGUGUGAAAUUUCGGAGCUUAACUCCGAAACUGCAUUCGAUACUGCGGUGCUUGAGGACUGGAGAGGAGACUGGAAUUCAUGGUGUAGCAGUGAAAUGCGUAGAGACCAUGAGGAAGACCAGUGGCGAAGGCGGGUCUCUGGACAGUUCCUGACACUGAGGCACGAAGGCCAGGGGAGCAAACGGG
rnacentral:rRNA from 1 species